rnacentral:rRNA from 1 species
CGUUAGCGGCGGACGGGUGAGUAACACGUGGAUAACCUACCUAUAAGACUGGGAUAACUUCGGGAAACCGGAGCUAAUACCGGAUAAUAUAUUAAACCGCAUGGUUCAAUAGUGAAAGACGGUUUUGCUGUCACUUAUAGAUGGAUCCGCGCCGCAUUAGCUAGUUGGUAAGGUAACGGCUUACCAAGGCAACGAUGCGUAGCCGACCUGAGAGGGUGACCGGCCACACUGGAACUGAGACACGGUCCAG